CCCGACACUGAGAGCAAUUUAUCUAUCUUUUUUUUGUUGCGAAAUAAGCAAUUUAUCCUCCCCCUUCGUGCGCCGCAUAAGGCAAGAACCUCAUGGCUAUGGCGAUGGCGGACGUAGGAGACGACGCAUUCGAGUUCCUCUCGGAUCCGGUUGACAGAUUUCCCCUGCCAGAUCUCGCCGCCGCAGAAUCGUUGGUGGCCGGCGAAGCAAGCCAAACUCCUAUGUAUGGCCGCUGAGUCAAGCAUUGGUGAUGCCGGCGAUGCUUCGGAGACAUUAGAACUAGAGUUGAACAGCGCCUGCGAUGGAAUGACCCUAUCCGCGCCAAAUUCAGAGCAUUCCACAGGCAAAGACGACCCUCAAGAUCCUGGCUGGACGAAAAGAAUGCUUGUUGGUGUGCACCUGAUGAACGCCCCCGUGUGCUGGCAGAAUGAGUGCCCUGGAGAAAACAUUGAGCAGAUAUGCAGAAAAGAAAACGGAGACAGUCAUAAUUCCUGCUGUAGGAAGCAACUUUGAUUCACUCGGGGGAAUCCCAAAGAAGAGUAACACACGGACAUGCCAAUGCAGGUGCCCCGCAAUGAUACGAUUGCUUCGAUCAAAUGACAAUGGCUGGUACAGAAGCGAGUACAGACCAGCGCAUAACCAUUCACUAACAGAAAAAUAUGGGGAGAAAGUUUACUAGCCUUCGCACAGGCAUAUUGAUAUAUACACCCGUGACGUUGUGAAGCAACUCCGUGAAAAAUGAUAUUAGUGUUGGCAAGGUCUACAAUAUAAUUGGUAGUUUCUUUGGUUCAAUGACCAACGUACCAUUCAUCAAAAGAGCAUUAGUCGAGAACAAGCAGACGAUGAUGUGAAUAAGACAAUGGAUGUUUUUGCUGAGUUGGGAGCAAAGGAUUCUGGGCUCUACUACAGAGUACAACCUGAUGAGGAGAGCCGCAUACGGAAUUUGUUAUGGUCAACAGGAGCAAGCAGAGCACAAUACCAUUAUUCCGGAGAUGCAAUUGAAGAAAAUAUGCCCUAGAGGCAAUAAUAAAGUUAUUAUUUAUUUUCUUAUAUCAUGAUAAAUGUUUAUUAUUCAUGUUAGAAUUGUAUUAACCGGAA